GUAGUUGGUUAUUCGUCGCUGAAAUUAUAAUUACUUAAUGAUGUUGCCUAUAACUUUUUCGUAUUCAUUUUAAGCUGUCAAAAUUUACUUUUCACCUUGUCGAUUGUCCAUAUUCCUUAGGAAACGGCACCCGUAUAAAAAAAAAUACUUUUGAAACCUGUUGUGUGCAUCAAGUUAUAUGUUGGCGUACAUAAUUAUCAUUCGAUUACUAUCUUCAUUAAUCGCCCUUAUGGAGAAUCAUUGUCAAUAUAGACGAAUUAAUAUAGUUUGUUUUAAUGACAUUUGUAUAAAACACUAAGUAAUAAUAAAUUGAUUCCGCUGACAGUGUUUGUGUGGGGUACAUGUGGGCGUGUUUGAUUGAUAGUUUCUUUUUUCUUUUGUUUUGGACAAGAAUAACAAAUUAAUUGAAGUCUAGAGCUGGCAUGUCAGUUAACUGCUAGUAGUCUGUGUUUUUUUUUAUGUAUUAUUGUCAUUUUGUUUCUUUUGUUACAUCUUCUGACAUCAGACUCGGACUUCUCUUGAACUGAAGUUUAAUGUGUGUAUGUUAUGCGUUUACUUUUCUACAUUGGCUAGAGGUAUAGGGGAGGGUUGAGAUCUCAUAGACAUGUUUAACCCCGCCGCAUUUUUGCGCCUGUCCAAAGUCAGGAGCCUCUGGUCUUUGUUUAGUCUUGUAAUAUUUUUAACUUUUAAAUUAGUUUUGUUGGUAGUAAAUUUGAAGUUUAGUAUUGCGUUCAUUAUCACUGAACCAGUAUUAUAUAUUUAUUUAGGGGCCACUGAAGGACGCCUCUGGUGCGGGAAUUUCUCGCGUCAUUGAAGACCUAUUAUUAGUGACCUUCUGUUGUUGUCUGUUAUUUGGUCGGGUUGUUGUCUUUUUGAC
rnacentral:lncRNA from 1 species